GGGGGACAUGAAGAUGAGGACAAUGGGGUGGGGGACAUCAAGAUGGGGACAAUAGGACGGGGACAAUGGGGUGGGGGACAAUGGGACGGGGGACAAUGGGGUGGGGGGACAUUGGGAUGGUGACCCCGUGCCCCUGUUCCAGUGUUGUGUCACAAGGAUGGUGACCCCGUGCCCCUGUUCCAGUGUUGUGUCACAACGGCGGCGUCCCCAACGUCACCUCCUGCCUUUGUCCCCCCGGUUUCACCGGCGUCACCUGCCAACACCGCGACGUCACCCAGCUCUGCGCCGCCGGCAGCACCGCCGUGGGACCCCUGUGUGUCUGCCCCCCCGGCAUGGGGGGACGUCGGUGUCACCUCCGGGAUGGGGACACCGCCUGUCUCAACGGGGGGACACCGGUGGGGACGGAGUGUUAUUGUCCGGGGGGCUUCCGGGGGGGGAGGUGUGAGACGAGAGAUGGCACCGCCGGUGUCACCACCGACGUCACCACCACCGAUGGCAACGCGGGUGUCACCGCGGGUGUCACCUCGGGUGUCCCCACGGGUGUCACUUCAGGUGUCACCACCAAUGUCACCACCAAUGGCACCACGGAUGUCACCACAGAUGUCCCCACGGGUGUCACCUUGGAUGUCACUGUGGAUGUCACCACCAAUGGCACCACGGAUGUCCCCACGGGUGUCACCACCGACGUCACCACCACCGAUGGCAAUGCGGGUGUCACCGCGGGUGUCACCUCGGGUGUCUCCACGGGUGUCACUUCAGGUGUCACCACCAAUGGCACUAUAGGUGUCACCACAGAUGUCCCCACAGGUGUCACCUUGGGUGUCACUGUGGAUGUCACCACCACUGUCACCACGGGUGUCACCAUGGAUGUCACCACCCAUGGCACCGCUGACGUCAACACCAAUGGCACCACGGGUGUCACCAUGGGUGUCCCCACGGGUGUCACCUCAGGUGUCACCACCAAUGUCACCACCGAUGGCUCCACGGAUGUCCCCACAGGUGUCACCACAGAUGUCACCAUGGAUGUCCCCACGGGUGUCACCUCGUGUGUCACCACCGACGUCACCACCACCAAUGGCACCUCAGGUGUCACUGUGGAUGUCACCACUAAUGGCACUACAAGUGUCACCACGGAUGUCCCCACGGGUGUCACCCCGGGUGUCACCAUGGAUGUCACCACCCAUGGCACCGCUGACGUCACCACCAAUGGCACCACGGGUGUCACCACGGGUGUCCCCACGGGUGUCACCAACAAUGUCACCACCAAUGGCAGCACAGGUGUCCCCACGGAUGUCACCUCGGAUGUCACCUCGGGUGUCACCAUGGAUGUCACCACCAAUGUCACCACCAAUGGCACCACGGGUGUCCCCACGGGUGUCACCCCAGGUGUCACCGUGGAUGUCACCACCAAUGGCACCAUGGAUGUCACCACAGGUAUCACCUCAGGUGUCACCACCAAUGUCACCACUGAUGUCACCACAGGUGUCACCACAGGUGUCCCCAGAGAUGUCACCAUGGAUGUCAAUGCCAAUGGCACCACCAAUGUCACGACCAAUGUCCCCACCGAUGUCCCCAUGAAUGUCACCACCAAUGCCACCAUCAAUGCCACCAUGGAUGUCCCCACUGAUGUCACCACCGUUGUCACCACGGAUGCCACCAUGGGUGUCACCACUGAUGUCACCACCAACAUCACCACCAACGUCACCACAGGUGUCACCACAGGUGUCCCCACGGGUGUCACCACCAAUGUCACCACCGAUGUCACCACGGUUGUCCCCACCGAUGUCACCACCGUUGUCACCACAGAUGCCACCAUGGGUGUCACCACCGAUGUCACCACCAACAUCACCACCAACGUCACCACAGGUGUCCCCACAGGUGUCCCCACGGGGGUCACCACCGAUGUCACCACCGUUGUCCCCACGGUUGUCCCCACCGCCACGAGGAGGACGUCUGUCACCCCACAAAGCACGGGGGUCACAACCAGGAGCACCAGAAGGACCGGAAGCACCGCCGUCCCCACAACCACAGGUGGGGUCGGUUUGGGGUCUUCAUGGGGUCCUUUUGGGGUCGUCAUGGGGUCCUUUUGGGGUCUUCGUGGGGUGGGACUUGNNNNNNNNNNNNNNNNNNNNNNNNNNNNNNNNNNNNNNNNNNNNNNNNNNNNNNNNNNNNNNNNNNNNNNNNNNNCACAGGUGGGGUCGGUUUGGGGUCUUCAUGGGGUGGGAUUUGGGGUCUUCAUGGGGUCCUUUUGGGGUCUUCAUGGGGGUUAUUUGGGGUCUUCAUGGGGUCCUUUUGGGGUCUUCAUGGGGUCCUUUUGGGGUCUUCGUGGGGUCCUUUUGGGGUCUUUAUGGGGGUAUUCUGGGGUCUUCCUGGGGCCAUAUUGGGGUCUUUAUGGGGUGGGAUUUGGGGUCUUCCAAAGUGGAAGGGAUUGGGGUCUUCACGGGGGUCCUUUUGGGGUCUUCAUGGGGUGGGAUUGGGGUCUUCAUUUUGGGGUCUUCCAAAGUGGAAGGAAUUGGGGUCUUCCUAGGGCCAUAUUGGGGUCUUUAUGGGGUAGGAUUGGGGUCUUCCAAAGGGAAAGGGAUUGGGGUCUUCAUGGGGUCCUUUUGGGGUCUUUAUGGGGUCAUUUUGGGGUCUUCCGAAGUGGAAGGAAUUGGGGUCUUCCUGUGGCCAUAUUGGGGUCCUUAUGGGGUGGGAUUGGGGUGGUGAUUGUGGGGUCUGAGUUAUGGGGUCGGGGGGACACACGGUCUCCAUCCCUAUAG
rnacentral:lncRNA from 1 species